rnacentral:rRNA from 1 species
AGUGAACGCUGGCGGUAGGCCUAACACAUGCAAGUCGAACGGCAGCACAGUAAGAGCUUGCUCUUACGGGUGGCGAGUGGCGGACGGGUGAGGAAUACAUCGGAAUCUACUUUUUCGUGGGGGAUAACGUAGGGAAACUUACGCUAAUACCGCAUACGACCUACGGGUGAAAGCAGGGGAUCUUCGGACCUUGCGCGAUUGAAUGAGCCGAUGUCGGAUUAGCUAGUUGGCGGGGUAAAGGCCCACCAAGGCGACGAUCCGUAGCUGGUCUGAGAGGAUGAUCAGCCACACUGGAACUGAGACACGGUCCAGACUCCUACGGGAGGCAGCAGUGAGGAAUAUUGGACAAUGGGCGCAAGCCUGAUCCAGCCAUCCCGCGUGGGUGAAGAAGGCCUUCGGGUUGUAAAGCCCUUUUGUUGGGAAAGAAAAGCAGCAGGUUAAUACCCCGCUGUUCUGACGGUACCCAAAGAAUAAGCACCGGCUAACUUCGUG